GCUCCUGUAGCCCAAUUGGCAGAGGCCACCGUUUUAAAAACGGUUGAUUUAGUGUGGGUUCGACUCCCAUCAGGAGCA
rnacentral:tRNA from 1 species